CGGGCUUGUAAAAUGCGAAUCAAUGAAUACGAAAUAAGGGCAACCGCGAGGCAGCGCCGGGAAGGGCUGGAGCGCGCGGGGGUGCAGGGAGUCCCUCCCUGGGCGCCGCAACGGCACCUCCUCCCUUUCCCGGCUCCGUCCCGCCCUCCCUCGGCCUCUGCGGACGCGACCCACGCAGACCACAGCCGAGCCCGCCGGACCCCGGGACUACGGAAGCCAUCCCGUCCGGCCACCCACACCCGCGCCGCGGCUGGGGCUUGGGUUGGGGACUGUGGCGGCGAAGAAGCCGGGGGAGGGAGUUCUCACAAGAUCUGAUGGUUUAAGCGUGGCAGUUUCCCCUGAGCUCUCCUUCCUGCUGGUAUGUAAGGCGUGCUUUGCUUCCUCUUCACCUUCCGCCAUGAUUGUACAUUUCCUGAGGCCUCCCCAGCCAUGCAGAACUGCAUACAACUUAGGAUUCAUAACUACAUAUAUACGGAUAGAAGUGCAUGAACAGAAAAUCUGCCCUUCUGGAAUACCAAAUGCAAAAUUAAAGUGACUACAAGCAGAAUUUGGAGAAAAAAAUAAAAGAUGCAAUAUAGUUUUUAAAAUCAUUGUUAAAAUAUAAUGAGUCUGUACUUUGCUUAAACAAUAAAAAAGUCUUCGAUUUAUA
rnacentral:lncRNA from 1 species